GAUCCUGGCUCAGGAUGAACGCUAGCUACAGGCUUAACACAUGCAAGUCGAGGGGCAUCAGGAAGAAAGCUUGCUUUCUUUGCUGGCGACCGGCGCACGGGUGAGUAACACGUAUCCAACCUGCCCUUUACUCGGGGAUAGCCUUUCGAAAGAAAGAUUAAAUACCCGAUGGCAUAAUGAUUCCGCAUGGUUUCAUUAUUAAAAGGAUUUCCGGUAAAGGAUGGGGAUGCGUUCCAUUAGGUUGUUGGUGAGG
rnacentral:rRNA from 1 species